rnacentral:misc_RNA from 1 species
AACUGAUACUACCUGCGGGAACCUGCGGAGGGAUCAUUAACGAGUUUCGUCGGGGGCGGUGCCAGCGAUGUGCACGCCCCCUUCAAACCCCUCUAUCACACACCUGUGCACCUUUACGAGAUCGAGGGGAGUCUCCCCUUGAUCUGAUCGUCUGACGCCGUAAAAGCGAAGGAAAGCCAAGAUUGUAAAAACACAACUUUCAACAACGGAUCUCU